CAUGGUUAUAUUUUGUUUAUGAUGAUGAAACUUUGCAAUUCUAGAACCAAUAUUGUAUAUUAUUUAUUGUCCUGUUCGAAUCGUUGAUUUUUCCCUUUAAAGAUAUUUUUGAAGCGCUCAAAAACGUUGCUACUCUGUUCAAUAAUGAUAGCGUUAUUCGACGUUCGUGCAACUGAUCUCUUCGCCGCUGUAUCCAGUUACAAGUGCGGAAGUAAAUCAGAAUGAUCUCGUGAUGAGCCCAUCCCAUGCAUUUCAAUGAUGUGUACAUUACAAUACGAUUAAAGACAAAAUUGAAGAAAUAUUUCAAUAUAAAACUGUGACUUUACGUUGUGGAACGAAAUAAUAAGUGUGGAAAAGAAGAAAUAGUCGCUUUGGUCAUAUUUGAGGACGUCCAGGUUUGAUAGUUUCGGACAACGCGAAAACAUUCAAAGCUAGGUUACUUAAGGAUUUACGUAACAAUGAAGAAGAGCAUGGGUACUUAGCACAAAGCCACGUAGAAUGGAUCUUCAAUCUUAAAAAAUCCCAUUGGUGGGGUGGGUUUUUUGAGCGAAUGGUAGGGACAGUAAAGCGAGCGUUGAGGAAAGUUUAAGACAAGCAAAAUUGACUUACGACGAACUUCUCACAAAUUUGAUUGAAAUUGAAGGAAUUGUUAACUCACGACCGUUGACUUAUGACUACGACGAGACCGACGGAGAAGUAUUGACACCCUCACACUUG